rnacentral:rRNA from 1 species
GGGUUGUGAGGUUAAGCGACUAAGCGUACACGGUGGAUGCCCUGGCAGUCAGAGGCGAUGAAGGGCGUGCUAAUCUGCGAUAAGCGCCGGUAAGGUGAUAUGAACCGUUAUAACCGGCGAUACCCGAAUGGGGAAACCCAGUGUGACUCGUCACACUAUCAUUAACUGAAUCCAUAGGUUAAUGAGGCGAACCGGGGGAACUGAAACAUCUAAGUACCCCGAGGAAAAGAAAUCAACCGAGAUUCCCCCAGUAGCGGCGAGCGAACGGGGAGGAGCCCAGAGCCUGAAUCAGCAUGUGUGUUAGUGGAAGCGUCUGGAAAGGCGCGCGAUACAGGGUGACAGCCCCGUACACAAAAGCGCAUAUGCUGUGAGCUCGAUGAGUAGGGCGGGACACGUGGUAUCCUGUCUGAAUAUGGGGGGACCAUCCUCCAAGGCUAAAUACUCCUGACUGACCGAUAGUGAACCAGUACCGUGAGGGAAAGGCGAAAAGAACCCCGGCGAGGGGAGUGAAAAAGAACCUGAAACCGUGUACGUACAAGCAGUGGGAGCCCCACCACCAAAGCAUUCUCUGGUGUUGAAGGCCCUGCAAAGCAGCAUCGCGGUGGCGGAGCGUCGUUUGCGACGCCCAACACACAAAACAAGCGGUGAGUGCUUUGGGGUGGGGUGACUGCGUACCUUUUGUAUAAUGGGUCAGCGACUUAUAUUCUGUAGCAAGGUUAACCGUAUAGGGGAGCCGGAGGGAAACCGAGUCUUAAUUGGGCGUUAAGUUGCAGGGUAUAGACCCGAAACCCGGUGAUCUAGCCAUGGGCAGGUUGAAGGUUGGGUAACACUAACUGGAGGACCGAACCGACUAAUGUUGAAAAAUUAGCGGAUGACCUGUGGCUGGGGGUGAAAGGCCAAUCAAACCGGGAGAUAGCUGGUUCUCCCCGAAAGCUAUUUAGGUAGCGCCUCGUGAAUUCAUCUCCGGGGGUAGAGCACUGUUUCGGCUAGGGGGCCAUCCCGGCUUACCAACCCGAUGCAAACUGCGAAUACCGGAGAAUGUUAUCACGGGAGACACACGGCGGGUGCUAACGUCCGUCGUGAAGAGGGAAACAACCCAGACCGCCAGCUAAGGUCCCAAAGUCAUGGUUAAGUGGGAAACGAUGUGGGAAGGCCCAGACAGCCAGGAUGUUGGCUUAGAAGCAGCCAUCAUUUAAAGAAAGCGUAAUAGCUCACUGGUCGAGUCGGCCUGCGCGGAAGAUGUAACGGGGCUAAACCAUGCACCGAAGCUGCGGCAGCGACGCUGAUGCGUUGUUGGGUAGGGGAGCGUUCUGUAAGCCUGCGAAGGUGGCCUGUGAGGGUUGCUGGAGGUAUCAGAAGUGCGAAUGCUGACAUAAGUAACGAUAAAGCGGGUGAAAAGCCCGCUCGCCGGAAGACCAAGGGUUCCUGUCCAACGUUAAUCGGGGCAGGGUGAGUCGACCCCUAAGGCGAGGCCGAAAGGCGUAGUCGAUGGGAAACGGGUUAAUAUUCCCGUACUUGGUGUUACUGCGAAGGGGGGACGGAGAAGGCUAUGUUGGCCGGGCGACGGUUGUCCCGGUUUAAGCGUGUAGGUGUGUGUUCCAGGUAAAUCCGGUUCACUUUAACACUGAGGCGUGACGACGAGGCACUACGGUGCUGAAGCAACAAAUGCCCUGCUUCCAGGAAAAGCCUCUAAGCAUCAGGUAACACGAAAUCGUACCCCAAACCGACACAGGUGGUCAGGUAGAGAAUACCAAGGCGCUUGAGAGAACUCGGGUGAAGGAACUAGGCAAAAUGGUGCCGUAACUUCGGGAGAAGGCACGCUGACACGUAGGUGAAGUGAUUUACUCACGGAGCUGAAGUCAGUCGAAGAUACCAGCUGGCUGCAACUGUUUAUUAAAAACACAGCACUGUGCAAACACGAAAGUGGACGUAUACGGUGUGACGCCUGCCCGGUGCCGGAAGGUUAAUUGAUGGGGUCAGCGCAAGCGAAGCUCCUGAUCGAAGCCCCGGUAAACGGCGGCCGUAACUAUAACGGUCCUAAGGUAGCGAAAUUCCUUGUCGGGUAAGUUCCGACCUGCACGAAUGGCGUAAUGAUGGCCAGGCUGUCUCCACCCGAGACUCAGUGAAAUUGAACUCGCUGUGAAGAUGCAGUGUACCCGCGGCAAGACGGAAAGACCCCGUGAACCUUUACUAUAGCUUGACACUGAACAUUGAGCCUUGAUGUGUAGGAUAGGUGGGAGGCUUUGAAGUGUGGACGCCAGUCUGCAUGGAGCCGACCUUGAAAUACCACCCUUUAAUGUUUGAUGUUCUAACGUGGACCCGUAAUCCGGGUUGCGGACAGUGUCUGGUGGGUAGUUUGACUGGGGCGGUCUCCUCCUAAAGAGUAACGGAGGAGCACGAAGGUUGGCUAAUCCUGGUCGGACAUCAGGAGGUUAGUGCAAUGGCAUAAGCCAGCUUGACUGCGAGCGUGACGGCGCGAGCAGGUGCGAAAGCAGGUCAUAGUGAUCCGGUGGUUCUGAAUGGAAGGGCCAUCGCUCAACGGAUAAAAGGUACUCCGGGGAUAACAGGCUGAUACCGCCCAAGAGUUCAUAUCGACGGCGGUGUUUGGCACCUCGAUGUCGGCUCAUCACAUCCUGGGGCUGAAGUAGGUCCCAAGGGUAUGGCUGUUCGCCAUUUAAAGUGGUACGCGAGCUGGGUUUAGAACGUCGUGAGACAGUUCGGUCCCUAUCUGCCGUGGGCGCUGGAGAACUGAGGGGGGCUGCUCCUAGUACGAGAGGACCGGAGUGGACGCAUCACUGGUGUUCGGGUUGUCAUGCCAAUGGCACUGCCCGGUAGCUAAAUGCGGAAGAGAUAAGUGCUGAAAGCAUCUAAGCACGAAACUUGCCCCGAG